UUUCGGAGCGUAAACUCCUUUUCUUGGGAAAGAAUUAUGACGGUACCCAAGGAAUAAGCACCGGCUAACUCCGUGCCAGCAGCCGCGGUAAUACGGAGGGUGCAAGCGUUACUCGGAAUCACUGGGCGUAAAGGACGCGUAGGCGGAUUAUCAAGUCUCUUGUGAAAUCUAACGGCUUAACCGUUAAACUGCUUGGGAAACUGAUAAUCUAGAGUAAGGGAGAGGCAGAUGGAAUUCUUGGUGUAGGGGUAAAAUCCGUAGAGAUCAAGAAGAAUACCCAUUGCGAAAGCGAUCU
rnacentral:rRNA from 1 species